GAUGAACGCUGGCGGCGUGCCUAAUACAUGCAAGUCGAGCGAACAGACGAGGAGCUUGCUCCUCUGACGUUAGCGGCGGACGGGUGAGUAACACGGGGAUAACCUACCUAUAAGACUGGGAUAACUUCGGGAAACCGGAGCUAAUACCGGAUAAUAUAUUGAACCGCAUGGUUCAAUAGUGAAAGACGGUUUUGCUGUCACUUAUAGAUGGAUCCGCGCCGCAUUAGCUAGUUGGUAAGGUAACGGCUUACCAAGGCAACGAUGCGUAGCCGACCUGAGAGGGUGAUCGGCCACACUGGAACUGAGACACGGUCCAGACUCCUACAGGGGGCAGCAGUAGGGACUCUUCCGCAAUGGGCGAAAGCCUGACGGAGCAACGCCGCGUGAGUGAUGAAGGUCUUCGGAUCGUAAAACUCUGUUAUUCGGGAAGAACAAAUGUGUAAGUAACUAUGCACGUCUUGACGGUACCUAAUCAGAAAGCCACGGCUAACUACGUG
rnacentral:rRNA from 1 species